AAUUCACAGGAUUAUAUUAUAAUAUUCACACCAAAAGUCAAAUGCAGAGGAGUUGAAGAAACCUAGAAACCUACAGAAUACAGUCAAGGGACUGGAUCCUUGCACAAAUCCAGCUCAAGGCCUAGAGCCCAUAACAAUAUUUUGUGCAAGUCCAUACUGAGUAGGAGCCAAAGACCAUUUGUGGGAGUUAGAAAGCCUGUGUCAGUGGGGUGAAAGAUUAUGCUGUCCAGCUAAAGGAUCUGCACUGGAGCUGGAAAGCAAUGUUCAAGGUGAAGAUCAGAGCUCUCCUGACAAGAACAACAGCCAUUCUCAGCCACAGGGAGGACCGGCUCUCCUCCUCCGACAAGAGCAGCCAAGACCAGCCAUCUCAAGCUUUUCCAAGAAAAUCAACAGCAAAAUGAUCCUUUCCUGCAGGCCUGCUUUUAUGCUAUUGGCAACAUUCCUCAGAGAAGAUGAAUUGCUGACUGACACAGAGAGAUGAACAUAGCUUCUAUUCAUCUGAGAAAUAAGCCAAGUACUUAAAGACAGAGAAUUUUGGUUUGCAAAACAGAUUAAGCUUUUAACUAAAGAUCUACCAUGUGCACUCAAAACACCUAGGAUCUACAGUUAAAAACUUAGGCUCUACUGUCUACUGGCUUGCUGAAAAUAAGCAAUUGAUUGAACUCUCUUAGAUAUAAUUUGUUAUACCAUGAGAAUAAGAAUGUGCCCA
rnacentral:lncRNA from 1 species